rnacentral:rRNA from 1 species
CAGGAUGAACGCUGGCGGCGUGCCUAACACAUUCAAGUCGAACGAACUGUAGAAAUACAGUGAGUGGCGGACGGGUGAGUAACGCGUAAGCAACCUGCCUUUGUGUGUGGAAUAACAACCGGAAACAGUUGCUAAUACCGCAUGACGCAGAGAGAUCGCAUGGUCUUUCUGCCAAAGAUUUAUCGCACAAAGAUGGGCUUGCGUCCGAUUAGAUAGUUGGCGGGGUAACGGCCCACCAAGUCAACGAUCGGUAGCCGGACUGAGAGGUUGAACGGCCACAUUGGAACUGAGAUACGGUCCAGACUCCUACGGGAGGCAGCAGUGGGGAAUAUUGGGCAAUGGACGAAAGUCUGACCCAAGCGACGCCGCGUGAGGGAAGAAGGUCUUCGGAUUGUAAACCUUAGUCAACAGGGACGAAGCAAGUGACGGUACCUGUGGAGGAAGCCACGGCUAACUACGUGCCAGCAGCUGC